rnacentral:rRNA from 1 species
CGGGAAUUUUCCGCAAUGGGCGAAAGCCUGACGGAGCAACGCCGCGUGAGUGAAGACGGCCUUCGGGUUGUAAAACUCUGUUCUUGGGGAAGAAGAAAGUGACGGUACCCAAGGAGAAAGCCCCGGCUAACUACGUGCCAGCAGCCGCGGUAAUACGUAGGGGGCGAGCGUUAUCCGGAUUUAUUGGGCGUAAAGCGCGCGCAGGCGGUCAGGUAAGUCGGAUGUGAAAGGCUACGGCUCAACCGUAGAGCGGCAUCCGAAACUGCUUGACUUGAGUGCAGGAGAGGAGAGUGGAAUUCCCGGUGUAGCGGUGGAAUGCGUAGAGAUCGGGAGGAACACCAGUGGCGAAGGCGACUCUCUGGACUGUAACUGACGCUGAGGCGCGAAAGCGUGGGGAGCAAAC